rnacentral:rRNA from 1 species
GCAGUCGAGGGGCAGCAUUUUAGUUUGCUUGCAAACUAAAGAUGGCGACCGGCGCACGGGCUGAGCUAACACGCUAUCCAACCUGCCGAUAACUCGGGGAUAGCCUUUCGAAAGAAAGAUUAAUAUCCGAUAGUAUAUUAAAACCGCAUGGUUUUACUAUUAAAGAAUUUCGGUUAUCGAUGGGGAUGCGUUCCAUUAGUUUGUUGGCGGGGUAACGGCCCACCAAGACUACGAUGGAUAGGGGUUCUGAGAGGAAGGUCCCCCACAUUGGAACUGAGACACGGUCCAAACUCNUACGGGAGGCAGCAGUGAGGAAUAUUGGUCAAUGGACGAGAGUCUGAACCAGCCAAGUAGCGUGAAGGAUGACUGCCCUAUGGGUUGUAAACUUCUUUUAUAUGGGAAUAAAGUAUUCCACGUGUGGGAUUUUUGUAUGUACCAUAUGAAUAAGGAUCGGCUAACUCCGUGCCAGCAGCCGCGGUAAUACGGAGGAUCCGAGCGUUAUCCGGAUUUAUUGGGUUUNAAAGGGAGCGUAGGUGGAUUGUUAAGUCAGUUGUGAAAGUUUGCGGCUCAACCGUAAAAUUGCAGUUGAAACUGGCAGUCUUGAGUACAGUAGAGGUGGGCGGAAUUCGUGGUGUAGCGGUGAAAUGCUUAGAUAUCACGAAGAACUCCGAUUGCGAAGGCAGCUCACUAGACUGCAACUGACACUGAUGCUCGAAAGUGUGGGUAUCAAACAGGAUUAGAUACCCUGGUAGUCCACACAGUAAACGAUGAAUACUCGCUGUUUGCGAUAUACAGUAAGCGGCCAAGCGAAAGCAUUAAGUAUUCCACCUGGGGAGUACGCCGGCAACGGUGAAACUCAAAGGAAUUGACGGGGGCCCGCACAAGCGGAGGAACAUGUGGUUUAAUUCGAUGAUACGCGAGGAACCUUACCCGGGCUUAAAUUGCAUUUGAAUAAUCUGGAAACAGGUUAGCCGCAAGGCAAAUGUGAAGGUGCUGCAUGGGUUGUCGUCAGCUCGUGCCGUGAAGGGUCGGCUUAAGUGCCAUAACGAGCGCAACCCUUAUCUUUAGUUACUAACAGGUCAUGCUGAGGACUCUAGAGAGACUGCCGUCGUAAGAUGUGAGGAAGGUGGGGAUGACGUCAAAUCAGCACGGCCCUUACGUCCGGGGCUACACACGUGUUACAAUGGGGGGUACAGAAGGCAGCUACCUGGCGACAGGAUGCUAAUCCCAAAAACCUCUCUCAGUUCGGAUCGAAGUCUGCAACCCGACUUCGUGAAGCUGGAUUCGCUAGUAAUCGCGCAUCAGCCAUGGCGCGGUGAAUACGUUCCCGGGCCUUGUACACACCGCCCGUCAAGCCAUGAAAGCCGGGGGUACCUGAAGUACGAACCGCAAGGAGCUCCAGG